rnacentral:rRNA from 1 species
UACGUAGGGUCCGAGCGUUGUCCGGAGUUACUGGGCGUAAAGCGCGCGCAGGCGGCUCGGCAAGCAUGGCGUGAAAGCCCCCGGCUCAACCGGGGAGGGUCGUCGUGGACUGCCGGGCUUGAGGGCGGGAGGGGCUGGUGGAAUUCCCGGUGUAGUGGUGAAAUGCGUAGAGAUCGGGAGGAACACCCGUGGCGAAGGCGGGUCUCUGGACAGUUCCGUGACACUGAGGCACGAAGGCCAGGGGAGCAAACGGG